UACGAAGGGGGCUAGCGUUGCUCGGAAUCACUGGGCGUAAAGCGCACGUAGGCGGCUUUCUAAGUCAGGGGUGAAAUCCUGGAGCUCAACUCCAGAACUGCCUUUGAUACUGGGGAGCUCGAGUCCGGAAGAGGUGAGUGGAACUCCGAGUGUAGAGGUGAAAUUCGUAGAUAUUCGCAAGAACACCAGUGGCGAAGGCGGCUCACUGGCCCGGUACUGACGCUGAGGUGCGAAAGCGUGGGGAGCGAACAGG
rnacentral:rRNA from 1 species